rnacentral:piRNA from 1 species
UACGACUGACUGUGCAGGCAAACUGGUGU